GCACUGAUGAGCAGUCCCAUAUUAGGACGAAACGAUCGUCCAGUGC
rfam:Schistosoma haematobium C9701228_1, whole genome shotgun sequence.